UACAUGAGUGUCCUUGCACUUUUCAGGAGUUAAGGCAGAUGUGGAGGCACACGGGUGACACCAGACACACACCAAGCACAUUGUUCGGACAUUCAAUCAUGACAUGAUCCAUGUGGAUGCUGUCCAUUGAGGAAAGAGUUUGUUCAGCGGUUUCUGGACAGAAUUAAUCCCAAAGAUGGGAAAAAGUGCACAUCCACACAAGGAGCAAGCAAAAAGACAAGGAACUUGGUGCAGAGAAAAGCUGUGGCCAUUAACCCCCAUGUGAACAGCUUCAUGCAGUCCCUGAUAGAGUUUGAAUGGGCGACUUCAAACUAAAGGCCAGUGUCAGUCUGCCAAAGUUUAAUGCAUUUAUUUUUAGUGUUCAAUAAAAUUCAAAUAGAAUAUUUAAAACUAUGGGCCAGUGUUCUUUUUACCACAGUGAAAUGUUACCUUUUAGUCGAUGAUGGACUUUAAACUGAAAACUUCAAACUAUGGACCAGUGUUCUAUUUGCCAGAGUUAAAUAUAUUACAGCAGGG